GAGAAAUCUGAAUUCCAAAAGAGAAUUCCGCUUGUUGGUGGAGCCAGGUCUUGAGAUGGUAUAAAACAUUUUCCAGCUUAAAAUAUCAAGUGAACAAUUUUCUAUUUGAACAAAUAAAAAAUAAAGUAGAAGUAUUUAUCUACUACAGUUCAAUUACAUACUAAGCAGCCUGUAGAAAAAAAAUGAUACGAAAAGUGAAUGUUAGUUCACUCUCCAUAGCUAGAAUAAAAACCCAUCAAAGUCCUCUGUAGGCUCUAGGAGACAUGGUGUUUCACAAUGUUCCUCACAGAUUCAGACAUUUGUAUCUGAUAAGGAACUCCUGGUUUUAAAUCAAUCAGAUACUAAUUGUCCCUCACGUGUAUCCCAAAUGGAACCCCAAUCCCUAUAUAGCGCACUAUAACGAGGAAUAAGGUGCUAUAUCAGUCACUCUAUCAGUCACUAUAACGAGGAAUAAGGUGCUAUAUCAGUCACUAUAUCAGUCACUAUAACGAGGAAUAAGGUGCUAUAUCAGUCACUAUAUCAGUCACUAUAACGAGGAAUAAGGUGCUAUAUCAGUCACUAUAACGAGGAAUAAGGUGCUAUAUCAGUCACUAUAUCAGUCAUUAUAUCAGUCACUAUAUCAGUCUAUAUCAG